CAGAGGGUUGUCUAGCAAAGAUCGUGGCCAGAGAAGGGAAAACCUGAGGGAGGGCUUGGGCAGAGGACUUAAAGUGUAAGAUGAACUUCAGUAAUUAGCACGCCGACACAUAACCUGCUCUUUUGUAUUUUGUAGGAAACAGCGUUUUUGGCUAUACUGAGCAGAAUGAAGGACUGCUUUACUGCUUCCUACUCAAAUAACACGGAUUUCAGCUUCAGAGGAUUCGCCCAGAUGCUUUGUAGUACCUUCAGUCACAGAGCUGAUGUUGUGCCUCAGGCUUAACUGGGGAGUUAAAAGCAAGACAACCCACCUCCACUGUGAGGUGGGCACCAGCACACAUCAGGCUGCCAGUUCAAGUUCACAUUACUCUUUCAAGGGAAGCUGCAUGGGAGCAUCUGUGAAGACCCUGGUUGGUCCCCACACAGUCUGUUGUCUACGUCUGUUCUAAAGGCAAGUGGGUACAGCAGGAGGUUGUUAUAUCUUGUGUCUUUGCUAUAACCAUGUGUCAUGUGCAGAUCCAGGGUUUGAGCUACUUUGAUCAGGCCUUCCUAAUGCAACAAUUAGUAACAAAAGUUUAUCUUGGCAGCUGACAGAAGUAUAUUUUCACAGAGCCACACUUAAUUCUAUCAACUGCCACUGCAUAGA